rnacentral:sRNA from 1 species
GGCCUGAGGGGAAGCACCUUGGCUUGGAGUGUUACCUUGGGCAGGGCAGGCUUUAAUUGUCCCCAGGAGCCGAUGGGAUGGGGAGGAGAGUUUGGAUGGAUGCAGGGGCUUCAUAGUCUGUUUCAUGUGUCCCCUUGAUCUCUUUCAGAGACUGGUGAUAUUUAUAUCUGGGGCUGGAAUGAAUCAGGGCAGCUGGCCCUGCCCACCAGGAACCUGGCAGAGGAUGGAGAGACUGUCGCAAAGGACGGUGAGGGUCAACUCGGCUCCCACAGCCGUCUCCCCAGGAUGUGGCUGUCAUUCCUAACUCCUGGCUGCAUGCGGGCCUCAGAGCUACACUGCUCAGGUGGAGCAUGUGAGCCCCUUACGGGAGGGAGCAUUGGCAAGGUGGAUGCCGGUCUUGGCACAAUAUACUUGUGCAGUAGUGCCAGCCCUGCCUGCAGAAUGUAGGGGUUGGGAGCACCAGCUUUGGAGCUAGACAAUCGUGUACCUCAGAGCUGUUGUGGCAAUAAGUGACUGCAUGAAUAAGGUUUAGCUUAGAGCUCGGUCGGUGUUCACAUCAUUAUUAUCAUUCUGAAGCCACAGAACUGAAUGAAGAUGGUUCUCAGGUGAAGAGAACGGGCGGGGCUGAGGAUGGAGCCCCUGCCCCCUUCAUAGCUGUCCAGCCCUUCCCAGCAUUACUGGAUCUCCCCUUGGGCUCAGAUGCAGUCAAGGCCAGCUGUGGAUCCCGGCACACAGCUGUGGUGACACGAACAGGGGAGCUCUACACCUGGGGCUGGGGUAAGUAAAAGGAUUGUUUUUGUGACCCUGAAACCAAGGAGAAGACAGACCUGGGAGUAUAGGGCAGGUGACAAAGCCACCAAGACUAGAGGAAGCAGGGGCCUCGGCCAGGUCACUGGGAGGAGCAGGAGUGCUCCCUCCCUGGAGUUGGAACAGACCUAGGCACACUCAGUCUGAGACCAGACAGGGGAGACAUGGAGAGGAUAUCGGUACCACCCACCUACCUCUCUGAAAGACUGUCUUAAGGGAGUAUCCAACCAGCACUUACAAAGCAGCUUUUUGUGGAUGUGACAUUGGGUGGAGAAAAAGAUUCGAUGGAAGUGUGUGCCCUGAACAUCUUAGCUUGGGUGGCAGGGAAGUCUGGAGGAGCAUCUUGCCUGGAGUGGCUGGUCGCCACUAGCCUCUUGGGGAUCCCCAAGGUUGCCUGGCUCUGGGUCUCUUGGAUUCACAGAGCAGUGGGGCAUAAUCCCAGCACUUCAUUUGAUAGUCUGGGCCCCUUCCUGGAGGGAAAGAAGCAGCAAGACCCAGUGGAGACGAUGACAAAGGGGCUGAUUUCACUUUAGGUAAAUACGGACAGCUGGGCCACGAGGACACCACCAGCUUGGAUCGGCCCCGCCGUGUGGAAUACUUUGUAGAUAAGAAACUCCAAGUAAAGGCUGUCACCUGUGGGCCCUGGAACACCUACGUGUAUGCUGUGGAGAAAGGGAAGAGCUGAUGUGUGUAUGUAUAUGUAUAUACAACACCUGUGAAACCCCCAUUCAGGUCAAGGAAAACCAUUGCCUGCACCUCAAGGGCCCCAUAUUUGCCCCUCCCCAUCACAGUCCUGCCCUUCACCCUCAAGCACGGUCCUAAACUUGUCUGCACUUUAGAAACACCUGGAGAGCAUUGAAAACUCUGCUGCCUAAGGUCAGCAUCAAUG